rnacentral:rRNA from 1 species
ACGCUCGACACCUACGGGAGCAGCAGUGGGGAAUAUUGCACAAUGGGGGAAACCCUGAUGCAGCGACGCCGCGUGAAGGAAGAAGUAUUUCGGUAUGUAAACUUCUAUCAGCAGGGAAGAAACUGACGGUACCUGACUAAGAAGCACCGGCUAAAUACGUGCCAGAGCCGCGGUAAUCUGAGCGGGCUGGCAAGGC